rnacentral:lncRNA from 1 species
AAAACAUUAGCGCUUUUGGUAAGUGCUCUAUCAGAGGACAAUGGGACGGAGGCGCGUGCACGAGGCGACCCCGUGUUUUUAUUUUCUCUCUCUUUGAACCUAAAGACGCUUUCCCGGUCAGAAUAUUAUCGCUUUUUAUGAGAAAAAUGGCAUAAAAAUUUAUUUUAAACAGCGGUUGACAUGCUUCGAAGUACGGUAAUUGAAUAUUUAGAAUUUUUUUGUCAUGAAAUGCGUCGUGCGCGUCACCCUUCUUUACCAUUCGGAUAGUGUCUUGAACGCACGAACAAAACAGAGGAUAUUUGAAUAUAACUAUGGAUUAUUUUUAACCAAACCAACAUUUGUUAUUGAAGUAGAAGUCCUGGGAGUGCAUUCUGACGAAGAACAGCAAAGAAUCUUCCCUGAUGAGUCCUGUCUCUGCCAGUUCUGUGAUGGGUGGUUCAGACCAUGAGUCAGUUGAUACAAUCAUUUUGAGCGAGGAUGGAAGCCCCUCACGAAAGCGUCAAAGAUCUGAUGACGAAGCAAAAAAUCUAAUAGAGAGCAUACUGAAGAAAAAGCCUGGUGGAGAGGUUGUCAUCAAGGAAUACUACAAAACUAAAAGCCUGACUGACUGCACCAGACGAAAGAUGAUCAAAAUUCUUGUUUCGGCGAUGACAGAGACUCAUGGGACAUCACCACCCCUCAGUGUGAGAGAAACAUUUGCACAAGGCAUCGUCUCCUUGUUCCCAUACCUGAAGGAUCCCUACACCGCAAAUGGAUAUAUUGAACAGGAUUUUGUGCUGCUGUUUGGAGAGCCAAGUUUUUGGAGAGGAUGGGACGGUGACAUUUCCUCCAUCCUUCUCCUGCUCCAUUUUACUCCUCCUUCGUCACAAGGCCGCAAAAGACCAGGCAAGAUGUCUGCAUCCCAAGCUGAACAGCAUCUUGUGAUAUUCCAAAAGGCAGGAACCAGUAUCCAGGAGCACCUUGACGCGAUGGACCAGAGCCGCCAACCAUAUCUUCUUGCAGUCGGGACCAGGAAGAGCAGCAUCCAUGCUUACUUCAUCAUCCUGGACAAGCGAGCCUUGCAAGUCAACGAGCGCUCUUGGGUGCCUUCGAUGAGUUUUUCAAGACUCACUUUGUUUUUGGUACUGCUUACAAUACAAUGCUGCGCAACAUGUACACCUUCAUACAGACAACUGUGUACAACAUAGACAUUGGGAAGGUUAAGGAGACUCCAACGGUUGCUGAGCUCAAGAGCUUUAUUAAAGAUGGAGUUUACUUUGAUUUGGAAGAUGGACUAUAUGUGAAGAGACGUCCUCUCUUUUCUAAAGAGAAAAAUGCAUUGCAAAUUCAACUCUUUUAUGAUGACUUUGAGACCGCUAAUCCAUUGGGAUCAAAAAAGGGUAUUCACAAGUUGGGAGAUGAAAUCUCGCGUCUUGUGACGGCCGGCCGCCCAACAACCUGCCCACUUGACCCUAUCCCCUCCUCUCUUCUCCAGACCAUUUCCGGAGACCUUCUCCCUUCCUCACCUCGCUCAUCAACUCAUCCUUGACCGCUGGCUACGUCCCUUCCGUCUUCAAGAGAGCGAGAGUUGCACCCCUUCUGAAAAAACCUACACUCGAUCCCUCCGAUGUCAACAACUACAGACCAGUAUCCCUUCUUUCUUUUCUCUCCAAAACUCUUGAACGUGCCGUCCUUGGCCAGCUCUCCUGC